AACGAACGCUGGCGGCAGGCCUAACACAUGCAAGUCGAGCGAGGACUUCGGUUCUAGCGGCGGACGGGUGAGUAACGCGUGGGAAUGUGCCCUUCUCUACGGAAUAGCCCUGGGAAACUGGGAGUAAUACCGUAUACGCCCUAUUGGGGAAAGAUUUAUCGGAGAAGGAUCAGCCCGCGUUGGAUUAGGUAGUUGGUGGGGUAUUGGCCUACCAAGCCGACGAUCCAUAGCUGGUUUGAGAGGAUGAUCAGCCACACUGGGACUGAGACACGGCCCAGACUCCUACGGGAGGCAGCAGUGGGGAAUCUUAGACAAUGGGGGCAACCCUGAUCUAGCCAUGCCGCGUGAGUGAUGAAGGCCUUAGGGUUGUAAAGCUCUUUCAGCUGGGAAGAUAAUGACGGUACCAGCAGAAGAAGCCCCGGCUAACUCCGUG
rnacentral:rRNA from 1 species